rnacentral:rRNA from 1 species
UACGAAGGGGGCUAGCGUUGUUCGGAAUUACUGGGCGUAAAGCGUGCGUAGGUGGUGAGUUAAGUCUGUCGUGAAAGCCCCGGGCUCAACCUGGGAAUGGCGAUGGAUACUGGCUCGCUAGAGUGCGGUAGGAGGAGAGUGGAAUUCCCGGUGUAGCAGUGAAAUGCGUAGAGAUCGGGAGGAACAUCAGUUGCGAAGGCGGCUCUCUGGACCAGCACUGACACUGAGGCACGAAAGCGUGGGGAGCAAACGGG